GAACAGGAUCUCUGGAGGCUGUUUGCAACUGUGGUCACAAAAUUCAAUGUUCUGGGAGAACGGGAAGCAGCUCCAUUUUUGGGGGCCUCUUACAUAGCUCAAGGUCUGGGCCCCAGGGCCUGACGGUGAGUAUGCCCAUAAAGCCCACCCAUAAGGCCACCUACAUGUUCCACCCAUGAGUUCGCUCACAGGGAGUAGAGUGUGUAGGGGAUGUGUUAUGUGUUACUGUAGAGGAUCUAAUGUGUGUGCUUACGGAAUGUAGUGUAUAG